rnacentral:rRNA from 1 species
GGUUAAGCGACUAAGCGUACACGGUGGAUGCCCUGGCAGUCAGAGGCGAUGAAGGACGUGCUAAUCUGCGAUAAGCGUCGGUAAGGUGAUAUGAACCGUUAUAACCGGCGAUUUCCGAAUGGGGAAACCCAGUGUGAUUCGUCACACUAUCAUUAACUGAAUCCAUAGGUUAAUGAGGCGAACCGGGGGAACUGAAACAUCUAAGUACCCCGAGGAAAAGAAAUCAACCGAGAUUCCCCCAGUAGCGGCGAGCGAACGGGGAGCAGCCCAGAGCCUGAAUCAGUGUGUGUGUUAGUGGAAGCGUCUGGAAAGGCGCGCGAUACAGGGUGACAGCCCCGUACACAAAAAUGCACAUGCUGUGAGCUCGAUGAGUAGGGCGGGACACGUGGUAUCCUGUCUGAAUAUGGGGGGACCAUCCUCCAAGGCUAAAUACUCCUGACUGACCGAUAGUGAACCAGUACCGUGAGGGAAAGGCGAAAAGAACCCCGGCGAGGGGAGUGAAAAAGAACCUGAAACCGUGUACGUACAAGCAGUGGGAGCACGCUUAGGCGUGUGACUGCGUACCUUUUGUAUAAUGGGUCAGCGACUUAUAUUCUGUAGCAAGGUUAACCGAAUAGGGGAGCCGAAGGGAAACCGAGUCUUAACUGGGCGUUAAGUUGCAGGGUAUAGACCCGAAACCCGGUGAUCUAGCCAUGGGCAGGUUGAAGGUUGGGUAACACUAACUGGAGGACCGAACCGACUAAUGUUGAAAAAUUAGCGGAUGACUUGUGGCUGGGGGUGAAAGGCCAAUCAAACCGGGAGAUAGCUGGUUCUCCCCGAAAGCUAUUUAGGUAGCGCCUCGUGAAUUCAUCUCCGGGGGUAGAGCACUGUUUCGGCAAGGGGGUCAUCCCGACUUACCAACCCGAUGCAAACUGCGAAUACCGGAGAAUGUUAUCACGGGAGACACACGGCGGGUGCUAACGUCCGUCGUGAAGAGGGAAACAACCCAGACCGCCAGCUAAGGUCCCAAAGUCAUGGUUAAGUGGGAAACGAUGUGGGAAGGCCCAGACAGCCAGGAUGUUGGCUUAGAAGCAGCCAUCAUUUAAAGAAAGCGUAAUAGCUCACUGGUCGAGUCGGCCUGCGCGGAAGAUGUAACGGGGCUAAACCAUGCACCGAAGCUGCGGCAGCGACGCUGAUGCGUUGUUGGGUAGGGGAGCGUUCUGUAAGCCUGUGAAGGUGUGCUGUGAGGCAUGCUGGAGGUAUCAGAAGUGCGAAUGCUGACAUAAGUAACGAUAAAGCGGGUGAAAAGCCCGCUCGCCGGAAGACCAAGGGUUCCUGUCCAACGUUAAUCGGGGCAGGGUGAGUCGACCCCUAAGGCGAGGCCGAAAGGCGUAGUCGAUGGGAAACAGGUUAAUAUUCCUGUACUUGGUGUUACUGCGAAGGGGGGGACGGAGAAGGCUAUGUUGGCCGGGCGACGGUUGUCCCGGUUUAAGCGUGUAGGCUGGUUUUCCAGGCAAAUCCGGAAAAUCAAGGCUGAGGCGUGAUGACGAGGCACUACGGUGCUGAAGCAACAAAUGCCCUGCUUCCAGGAAAAGCCUCUAAGCAUCAGGUAACAUCAAAUCGUACCCCAAACCGACACAGGUGGUCAGGUAGAGAAUACCAAGGCGCUUGAGAGAACUCGGGUGAAGGAACUAGGCAAAAUGGUGCCGUAACUUCGGGAGAAGGCACGCUGAUAUGUAGGUGAAGUCCCUCGCGGAUGGAGCUGAAAUCAGUCGAAGAUACCAGCUGGCUGCAACUGUUUAUUAAAAACACAGCACUGUGCAAACACGAAAGUGGACGUAUACGGUGUGACGCCUGCCCGGUGCCGGAAGGUUAAUUGAUGGGGUCAGCGCAAGCGAAGCUCUUGAUCGAAGCCCCGGUAAACGGCGGCCGUAACUAUAACGGUCCUAAGGUAGCGAAAUUCCUUGUCGGGUAAGUUCCGACCUGCACGAAUGGCGUAAUGAUGGCCAGGCUGUCUCCACCCGAGACUCAGUGAAAUUGAACUCGCUGUGAAGAUGCAGUGUACCCGCGGCAAGACGGAAAGACCCCGUGAACCUUUACUAUAGCUUGACACUGAACAUUGAGCCUUGAUGUGUAGGAUAGGUGGGAGGCUUAGAAGUGUGGACGCCAGUCUGCAUGGAGCCGACCUUGAAAUACCACCCUUUAAUGUUUGAUGUUCUAACGUUGACCCGUAAUCCGGGUUGCGGACAGUGUCUGGUGGGUAGUUUGACUGGGGCGGUCUCCUCCUAAAGAGUAACGGAGGAGCACGAAGGUUGGCUAAUCCUGGUCGGACAUCAGGAGGUUAGUGCAAUGGCAUAAGCCAGCUUGACUGCGAGCGUGACGGCGCGAGCAGGUGCGAAAGCAGGUCAUAGUGAUCCGGUGGUUCUGAAUGGAAGGGCCAUCGCUCAACGGAUAAAAGGUACUCCGGGGAUAACAGGCUGAUACCGCCCAAGAGUUCAUAUCGACGGCGGUGUUUGGCACCUCGAUGUCGGCUCAUCACAUCCUGGGGCUGAAGUAGGUCCCAAGGGUAUGGCUGUUCGCCAUUUAAAGUGGUACGCGAGCUGGGUUUAGAACGUCGUGAGACAGUUCGGUCCCUAUCUGCCGUGGGCGCUGGAGAACUGAGGGGGGCUGCUCCUAGUACGAGAGGACCGGAGUGGACGCAUCACUGGUGUUCGGGUUGUCAUGCCAAUGGCACUGCCCGGUAGCUAAAUGCGGAAGAGAUAAGUGCUGAAAGCAUCUAAGCACGAAACUUGCCCCGAGAUGAGUUCUCCCUGACUCCUUGAGAGUCCUGAAGGAACGUUGAAGACGACGACGUUGAUAGGCCGGGUGUGUAAGCGCAGCGAUGCGUUGAGCUAACCGGUACUAAUGAACCGUGAGGCUUAACCUU